UGAUGGAAUUUCUAAGGUCUGGCUGGAAAUCAGUAGGUCAGGGAAAAUCAAAGGGAAGGUGGGUGAGUGGGCAGAAGAGUGAAGAUGCCGUGUGGAUGGGCAGCUGAAGACAACCAGAGCACACUGUGAGGGAUUAUAUAACAAGAAUACAUAACAGGAAGAUAUUAAUUUACAUCAGCAGUGAAAGGCUUUCUAUGAAAUUGAGAGAAGCAAUUCAGCUUUUGAAGAAUUACUAAAUAGUUAGAAUUUGGAAAAAGAAGAAAAAUACUAUGAAACCACAAUAGACAAGGAGCACAGCCAGCAGGGAGAGAUACUGCCUGGGAGAGACACAGAAGUGGCUGGUGGACUGCUCAGGAGCUCAUGAGGCUCACCUAAUUCUCCAAAUACAACUAAAAAUAAUAGAAAUGUUAAUAUAAUUCCAGUACUUGCUCUUGUCCAAUGAGUAAUUAGUUUAAUUGUCAGAUUUCAUUGAAAAAUGGCCAAAAUUAGAACCUAAUUAUACUGCCAUAUGUAUGUAUGUAUAUGAAGAAAAAUAGUUUGUGAUAACUAAAACAUCUGUUUUAAAAUUUAAAGCUCAAAUAUAUUACUAGCCUGCACUUUUAUAUGAAAAUUUCAAAAAGAAAUUAUAAAUGGGACACCCGUGCUUACACUGGCCAUUUAAAAGGCUCCUAUUAUAGAUAGAUAAUUACACUAUAGACAUUAUAUUUUAUUUUUUUGCUUUUGUUUUUGUUGACCAAGUUCUGGCAGUCCUACCCAAUGUUUGCACAAACUAAGCAAGUGCUGGGACACUGAGCUGCAUCCUCUGCCCAGUGUUAUUUUUGGACAACUGGUAAGACAGAAAGAGUACUGUUUAAGUACAGGAUUGUGCAGGCGUUAUUUAGAGGAUGAAAGACAGUGGUUAGAAAUGUUUUUGUGUGUAGCAUUUAUUGAGUCAUAAAAUUAUUACAUGAUUUUUUAAAAAAAAAUUUGAAUCACAGCUUUAAAAAGGAUAUUAAGACAACUGUUUAAAACAGAACAAAAGCUUAUUGUCUUCAUUAUUUCCUUU